CUGGUAUCCAUUUCGUUGUAAAUGUUGCAACUAAAUCAUGGUCACUGAUGUGAAAUAGUCUGGAUUUAUCUUGUCUUGUGUGUGCUGUAUGCAAAUCAGUCUUUACGGGUUGCAGACUAGUUAAAUUGACAAUGUAUUAUUUAUAUUACAUCAGCUCUUGAUGUGGUUAAAUACAUUUAAAUUAAGCAAGGUUAACAGCGGAUGUAUUAUGCAG